GACGAACGCUGGCGGCGUGCCUAAUACAUGCAAGUCGAGCGAACAGACGAGGAGCUUGCCCCGCGGACGUUAGCGGCGGACGGGAGAGUAACACGUGGAUAACCUACCUAUAAGACGGGGAGAAAAUCGGGAAACCGGAGCUAAAACCGGAUAAGAUAUAGAACCGCAGGGGGCAAUAGUGAAAGACGGUGUUGCGGCCAGCGACAGAUGGAUCCGCGCCGGAUUAGCUGGUUGGUAAGGUAAAGGCUUAGCAAGGCAACGAUGAGGAGCCGACGUGAGAGGGUGAUCGCCCGCCCUGGAGGUUGACCACCCUCCAUGCUCCUGCGAUACGCCGCAGUCGGGUACCUUCCGCAGUGGGCGGGAGCCUUGCGCAACGGCGCCACGUGAGUUAUGACGGUCUUCCGUUCGUAAUACUCUGUUACUGGUGGAGAACCACUUUGUACGUAACUAUGCCCGUCUUGACGGUACCUGCUCAGAAAGCCCCGGCUAACUACGUG
rnacentral:rRNA from 1 species